GACGAACGCUGGCGGCGUGCCUAAUACAUGCAAGUAGAACGCUGAAGGAGGAGCUUGCUUCUCUGGAUGAGUUGCGAACGGGUGAGUAACGCGUAGGUAACCUGCCUGGUAGCGGGGGAUAACUAUUGGAAACGAUAGCUAAUACCGCAUAAUAGUAGAUGUUGCAUGACAUUUGCUUAAAAGGUGCAAUUGCAUCACUACCAGAUGGACCUGCGUUGUAUUAGCUAGUUGGUGGGGUAACGGCUCACCAAGGCGACGAUACAUAGCCGACCUGAGAGGGGGAUCGGCCACACUGGGACCUAGACACGGCCCAGGCUCCUACGGGAGGCAGCAGGAGGGAAUCUUCGGCAAUGGACGGAAGUCUGACCGAGCAACGCCGCGUGAGUGAAGAAGGUUUUCGGAUCGUAAAGCUCUGUUGUAAGAGAAGAACGAGUGUGAGAGUGGAAAGUUCACACUGUGACGGUAUCUUACCAGAAAGGGACGGCUAACUACGUG
rnacentral:rRNA from 1 species